AACGAACGCUGGCGGCAUGCCUAACACAUGCAAGUCGAACGAGACCUUCGGGUCUAGUGGCGCACGGGUGCGUAACGCGUGGGAACCUGCCCUUAGGUUCGGAAUACCUCCCCGAAAGGGGUGCUAAUACCGGAUAAUGUCUUCGGACCAAAGAUUUAUCGCCUUUGGAUGGGCCCGCGUUGGAUUAGCUAGUUGGUAGGGUAAAAGCCUACCAAGGCGACGAUCCAUAGCUGGUCUGAGAGGAUGAUCAGCCACACUGGGAAUGAGACACGGCCCAGACUGCUACGGGAGGCAGCAGUGGGGAAUAUUGGACAAUGGGCGAAAGCCUGAUCCAGCAAUGCCGGGUGAGAGAUGAAGGCCUUAGGGUUGUAAAGCUCUUUGACACGGGAUGAUAAUGACAGUACCGGGAGAAUAAGCUCCGGCUAACUCCGUG
rnacentral:rRNA from 1 species